rnacentral:rRNA from 1 species
UUUUCCUCUCGCUCCUCCUGUGGGCGGCGCCGCCGCUGCGCACAGAACACAUCCUCGCCAGCGUAGCUUCUCCGGCGUCCGGCCAACGCGCUCACUAGCCUCCCGCCUUCCUCCACAUCUCCUCGCCUCCACCCCAUCUAGUUCGUGCCAUUCGCUGCUCCAAGACAAGGGCAUGGCGCUCGGCGGCUGCGGCAACGAAGCUGAUGGUGCACGAGCCAACAAUGGAGGCAGUAGCACGGGGCAGCGACAGCAGCAUGGAGGGCGUCCUCUUGUUUGGGAAGGUAAUGGAACUGCAAAUAGGAGUGGCAGCGGCGACCAGGAUGCAAAUGGAAGUGGUUCCCAAAGACCUUGGAAAGGACUUAAAGACAAUAACUUAUAUGAUCCUUGGAACCAUGCAUGGCCGUAUUAUGGGGGUUUUGAUUGCACGUACUGCAGCCUAAAGCACAAAGGUGGAGGUGCAACCCGUGUCGCGGAGCACCUUGGUGGUAUUGUAGGUAAUGUGAGGAGCUGUCCCAAUGUGCCAAGAAAUGUGAGAGAUGCAAUGAGAGAGUGCCGGGAUGAAUCAAGGAGGAAGAAAAGAGACAAACAAAAUAGCAGGCUGAGAAUUGAAAGAAAUAUUAUGGAAGGGUUGUAUAAAAAAGGAGGGGUGGUUAACGUACCAGAUGAUGAUGAAGAAGAAAUUCAGAUGAAUAUUAGAGAAGCAUUGCGUGACCAGAAUGUCUCUCGCAGAAUUGAAAGGAGAAUUGGAUCUGUCCUACAAUUGUCUUAUGUUCUUAAAAUAUUUGCUUUGUUCUAAUUAGACUUUAUCUAUAGAGAGAUUGAAAAGGUUGUCGAAGAGAUAGGGCAUGAGCAUAUAGUUCAAAUAGUAACCGAUAAUGGAUCCAAUUAUAAGAAAGCUUGCAAAACCCUUAUAGAAGAACCAAAAUACUCUCAUAUUGUUUGGCAACCGUGUGCGGCCCAUACCGUCAAUCUUAUGCUAAAAGAUAUAGCAAAAUUUCCUGAGGUUGAUGUGAUAGUCAAGAGUACCAAAGGAUUGGAAGGAGUGUCAGUGGAGGUAUGAGCCUGGGUAUGUGUUUGCUGAAGAGUGUUUGUCUAGUAAUGUUUGGUGGAACGCACUAGAGUGGGUAUUGAGUUCAUUGAGGCCACUUUAUACGGCCAUGAGGUAUGCUGAUACACAAAAACAAUGCACACUUUCUGGCUUCAAAAAAAGCAUGAUGCUUGCUAUACAAAGGAUGGAAGCCCAUCUUGGCCCUACAUCAAGGUUGUACCUUUCGUUCAUGCGCAAGGUGGGCAAGAGGAUAGAUGCAAUGGAAGAAGAUACAUUUAUGGUUGCAGCUGCUGUCCUUGACCCAUAUACACAUUACAAGCUGAACCUUUGCAACCACACAGAUUAUGCCACUUCACUAACAGAUGCGAUAGCGAAGAUAUUAGACCCAGUGAGUGCUCUUUCAGCCAUUGAUGAAGUGAGCAAGUUCAGGGAGUGCCAAGGGAGGUUUGGGACCAGAUUGGCAGAAGAAGCUGCGGCGAGAAUGGGGCCAACCCAAUGGUGGUUUCAGUUUGGAGGGGAUGUUCCUGCAUUGCAGAAAUGUGCAAUGAGAAUUUGCUCACAAUGUGUCUCCUCUAGUGGGUGUGAGAGAAAUUGGAGCGCUUUUGCUUUGGUGCACACAAAGCAAAGAAGUCGUCUUCUAUAUGACAAGCUCCACAAGCUAGUUUCUGUACGCUACAACUUAAAGAUACGUGCUGAAGAAGAUCAAGAGAAAGAGAGAUAUAUAGAUAAAGAAAUUGAUCCAAGUGCAUUGCUAAUGGAUACCACAAUGUUUGAUGAAACAAACCCAAUAAUGGAGUGGCUGAAUGAGGAUGUAGAGGAUCCGAUUGUGGAUGGAGCUGAUGCAGCUAGUGCUGUUUUUGAGCAAAUAAGGCGCCUCAACUCAAGCAGGAAGGCGUCUUAUGUUGGUUCAAAGGGUAAUAACAAGAAAAGAAAGAGGAAUGAUGAUGAUGAGAAUGAGUUUCUUGAAACUGAGAGUGAGGAUGAUGAAGAAGAGAAUGAAUAUGUUGAUAAUGACAUCGAGGAUGAUGAUGGGGUGAGUGAGGAUGAUGAGGAUGGUGAACAAGAUCAGCUAGAGACACAAAUGCAACUUGAAGAAGAGACACAAGAACAAGUUCAAAAGGAGGCACCAACAAGCACUGGCCAUUUGGAGACUAGAUCUGGACGACUUAUUAGGAAGAAGACCAAGAACGUCAACAGCCUCUACUCGUAAAUUUGAAAUGGCACGUGAGCAAAGGAUAUCAAGAAGCUUUUGGAUGUUGGGAAGCUUGGAGCUGAUGCUUCAAAUAAGCUGAUGGUUGUCUUUUGGAGAUGUUUCUAUGUUUAAUGCUUUAAAGUCUUUUGGCUGUACUGGACUAUUUAAACUUUGAACUAUGCUGUGAUGGUUGAACUGAUGCUGGACGGUUAAGGGUUUAUGUCAGAGGCAACUUUAUAACUAAUGUGUGCCUGUUAUGUUGGACUGUUAAGGGUUAUGUUGGAGGCAAUUUUAUAACUAAUGUGUGUCUGUUAUGUUGGAUUGUUAACUGUUAUGUUGGAGGCAACAUUAUA